rnacentral:rRNA from 1 species
GGGUUGUGAGGUUAAGCGACUAAGCGUACACGGUGGAUGCCCUGGCAGUCAGAGGCGAUGAAGGACGUGCUAAUCUGCGAUAAGCGUCGGUAAGGUGAUAUGAACCGUUAUAACCGGCGAUUUCCGAAUGGGGAAACCCAGUGUGAUUCGUCACACUAUCAUUAACUGAAUCCAUAGGUUAAUGAGGCGAACCGGGGGAACUGAAACAUCUAAGUACCCCGAGGAAAAGAAAUCAACCGAGAUUCCCCCAGUAGCGGCGAGCGAACGGGGAGGAGCCCAGAGCCUGAAUCAGUGUGUGUGUUAGUGGAAGCGUCUGGAAAGGCGCGCGAUACAGGGUGACAGCCCCGUACACAAAAAUGCACAUAUUGUGAGCUCGAUGAGUAGGGCGGGACACGUGGUAUCCUGUCUGAAUAUGGGGGGACCAUCCUCCAAGGCUAAAUACUCCUGACUGACCGAUAGUGAACCAGUACCGUGAGGGAAAGGCGAAAAGAACCCCGGCGAGGGGAGUGAAAAAGAACCUGAAACCGUGUACGUACAAGCAGUGGGAGCACGCUUAGGCGUGUGACUGCGUACCUUUUGUAUAAUGGGUCAGCGACUUAUAUUCUGUAGCAAGGUUAACCGAAUAGGGGAGCCGAAGGGAAACCGAGUCUUAACUGGGCGUUAAGUUGCAGGGUAUAGACCCGAAACCCGGUGAUCUAGCCAUGGGCAGGUUGAAGGUUGGGUAACACUAACUGGAGGACCGAACCGACUAAUGUUGAAAAAUUAGCGGAUGACUUGUGGCUGGGGGUGAAAGGCCAAUCAAACCGGGAGAUAGCUGGUUCUCCCCGAAAGCUAUUUAGGUAGCGCCUCGUGAAUUCAUCUCCGGGGGUAGAGCACUGUUUCGGCAAGGGGGUCAUCCCGACUUACCAACCCGAUGCAAACUGCGAAUACCGGAGAAUGUUAUCACGGGAGACACACGGCGGGUGCUAACGUCCGUCGUGAAGAGGGAAACAACCCAGACCGCCAGCUAAGGUCCCAAAGUCAUGGUUAAGUGGGAAACGAUGUGGGAAGGCCCAGACAGCCAGGAUGUUGGCUUAGAAGCAGCCAUCAUUUAAAGAAAGCGUAAUAGCUCACUGGUCGAGUCGGCCUGCGCGGAAGAUGUAACGGGGCUAAACCAUGCACCGAAGCUGCGGCAGCGACGCUUAUGCGUUGUUGGGUAGGGGAGCGUUCUGUAAGCCUGUGAAGGUGUGCUGUGAGGCAUGCUGGAGGUAUCAGAAGUGCGAAUGCUGACAUAAGUAACGAUAAAGCGGGUGAAAAGCCCGCUCGCCGGAAGACCAAGGGUUCCUGUCCAACGUUAAUCGGGGCAGGGUGAGUCGACCCCUAAGGCGAGGCCGAAAGGCGUAGUCGAUGGGAAACAGGUUAAUAUUCCUGUACUUGGUGUUACUGCGAAGGGGGGACGGAGAAGGCUAUGUUGGCCGGGCGACGGUUGUCCCGGUUUAAGCGUGUAGGCUGGUUUUCCAGGCAAAUCCGGAAAAUCAAGGCUGAGGCGUGAUGACGAGGCACUACGGUGCUGAAGCAACAAAUGCCCUGCUUCCAGGAAAAGCCUCUAAGCAUCAGGUAACAUCAAAUCGUACCCCAAACCGACACAGGUGGUCAGGUAGAGAAUACCAAGGCGCUUGAGAGAACUCGGGUGAAGGAACUAGGCAAAAUGGUGCCGUAACUUCGGGAGAAGGCACGCUGAUAUGUAGGUGAAGUCCCUUGCGGAUGGAGCUGAAAUCAGUCGAAGAUACCAGCUGGCUGCAACUGUUUAUUAAAAACACAGCACUGUGCAAACACGAAAGUGGACGUAUACGGUGUGACGCCUGCCCGGUGCCGGAAGGUUAAUUGAUGGGGUCAGCGCAAGCGAAGCUCUUGAUCGAAGCCCCGGUAAACGGCGGCCGUAACUAUAACGGUCCUAAGGUAGCGAAAUUCCUUGUCGGGUAAGUUCCGACCUGCACGAAUGGCGUAAUGAUGGCCAGGCUGUCUCCACCCGAGACUCAGUGAAAUUGAACUCGCUGUGAAGAUGCAGUGUACCCGCGGCAAGACGGAAAGACCCCGUGAACCUUUACUAUAGCUUGACACUGAACAUUGAGCCUUGAUGUGUAGGAUAGGUGGGAGGCUUGGAAGUGUGGACGCCAGUCUGCAUGGAGCCGACCUUGAAAUACCACCCUUUAAUGUUUGAUGUUCUAACGUUGACCCGUAAUCCGGGUUGCGGACAGUGUCUGGUGGGUAGUUUGACUGGGGCGGUCUCCUCCUAAAGAGUAACGGAGGAGCACGAAGGUUGGCUAAUCCUGGUCGGACAUCAGGAGGUUAGUGCAAUGGCAUAAGCCAGCUUGACUGCGAGCGUGACGGCGCGAGCAGGUGCGAAAGCAGGUCAUAGUGAUCCGGUGGUUCUGAAUGGAAGGGCCAUCGCUCAACGGAUAAAAGGUACUCCGGGGAUAACAGGCUGAUACCGCCCAAGAGUUCAUAUCGACGGCGGUGUUUGGCACCUCGAUGUCGGCUCAUCACAUCCUGGGGCUGAAGUAGGUCCCAAGGGUAUGGCUGUUCGCCAUUUAAAGUGGUACGCGAGCUGGGUUUAGAACGUCGUGAGACAGUUCGGUCCCUAUCUGCCGUGGGCGCUGGAGAACUGAGGGGGGCUGCUCCUAGUACGAGAGGACCGGAGUGGACGCAUCACUGGUGUUCGGGUUGUCAUGCCAAUGGCACUGCCCGGUAGCUAAAUGCGGAAGAGAUAAGUGCUGAAAGCAUCUAAGCACGAAACUUGCCCCGAGAUGAGUUCUCCCUGACCCUUUAAGGGUCCUGAAGGAACGUUGAAGACGACGACGUUGAUAGGCCGGGUGUGUAAGCGCAGCGAUGCGUUGAGCUAACCGGUACUAAUGAACCGUGAGGCUUAACCUUACAACGCCGAAGCUGUU